GACCAGACUCCUACGGGAGGCAGCAGUGGGGGAUAUUGCACAAUGGAGGGAACUCUGAUGCAGCGACGCCGCGUGAGUGAAGAAGUAUUUCGGUAUGUAAAGCUCUAUCAGCAGGGAAGAAAAUGACGGUACCUGACUAAGAAGCCCCGGCUAACUACGUGCCAGCAGCCGCGGUAAUACGUAGGGGGCAAGCGUUAUCCGGAUUUACUGGGUGUAAAGGGAGCGUAGACGGCAUGGCAAGUCAGAUGUGAAAGCCCGGGGCUCAACCCCGGGACUGCAUUUGAAACUGUCAGGCUGGAGUGCAGGAGAGGUAAGUGGAAUUCCUAGUGUAGCGGUGAAAUGCGUAGAUAUUAGGAGGAACACCAGUGGCGAAGGCGGCUUACUGGACUGUAACUGACGUUGAGGCUCGAAAGCGUGGGGAGCAAACAGGAUUAGAUACCCUAGUA
rnacentral:rRNA from 1 species